UCCCUUUGCCAUAUGCUUCAACUUUCAUGUCUGUUUUGCCAUCAUCUAUUCCAUUAACAUUAUGAUUAAUUGAAAGCUCACUAGAAUUUCAAAUAUCUUGAAAACUAGCCAAUGCCAGCUCUUUGGAGGCUACAUUGAAAAUAAAUAACAAUAAAAACAGGGUGAUUUAGGCUUUUGAAGUGUUUAAAGAAACCAUCACUAUGAUGUUUACUACUGCUGCGGAACAGAGAACAACACUCCACAUUUCUGGCAUUGUAAAAGACAACACUGCAACUGAAAGAAAGCUUGAAUUUCUGGGAGUAGCAUUAGGAUACAGGACUCCUGCUGAGCCCACCAGUUCCUCGCUCUACACAGCUGCUUUCUCAGCUGGGGUUUUGAAAUAAGCGCUGUGAGAAAAGACAGAAAUGACCAUGAUGCAUCUUCCUCACUAUGAGAAAAAAGGUACCGUGUGAAGGUCUGGGCAUAUAACAAGAAACAAGAAAGAUAAGGCCCUUGCUUACAUAGAACUUGGUGAAGAAUCUAGACCAUAAAAAGCACACAGAGAAAAUGUAUCACAAAUUGUGCUAAAGCUCUGUAAAAGGAUUAAGAUGGAGUGUCCCAAGACUGAAUUAGACAGAGUGCCCUUGAAAGAGUGCCAAUUGUUAGAAUGGGGUGUAUAGAUCCAUCCUUUGCAACAGGAGAGGACCUCCUCAGUAAGGCACUGAGCCAGGACUCUAUGCAGCCGUACAAACAGGGAAACACUACACACUCACAAUGAAAAGACAUUCUUUUCCUGUCUGUGGUGGAAUCGUCCAAGUUGUUUGGCUUGAUUUCUAGUGUCGACUUUCUAAACCAACAAGAUUUUAAUCCUCUGAUGGCAGAAUGUUAGGAGUGUCUGUUUCUGGGCUGGAUUUUAGUUGCCGAGGUGGUAAGUAUGUGGGGAAAGAAUUACUGUAGAAAUUAAAGUUUCCAGAGAUUUUAUUGCGUGCUGAGUCAUUUAUCCUUUUUGUGUGUUGGGGCUAAAAGUUAUCUGGAGAACUAUUUAUCUUUUCUCUCUCUUCUAAUGCCAGUAAUCGAAGUCUUCUUUGCCAAAGUCCCAAUUUUCUAUUGAUCAAGCUAAACUUCUGCAUGAUCAAGCUAAACUUCUGCAUGGUGUGAAUGCUAUAGUUAAAUGCAUUCUGUGUUUAGGAAAGGCACAGUUCUUAAAGUCACGCUGCUAUCUCACACCGGGCUUCCAUAUCACUUCCUCUUUCAACCCUGAGUUGUGUGUUAUUUUGUUGAAAAAAUAUUAUUUCUAAUGUUUCAAAAAGCUUUCCUUUGCUUGAGUUCAGUUAUGAGUGAUAUCUACUUGUUAUCAUCAAUAAAUUUUUUAGCUGAUGUGAUGACUGAAGCCUGUAAUCCCAGGACUUUGGGAGACUGAGGUGGGAGGAUCACUUGAGCCCAUGAGUUCGAGAUCAGCCUGGGCAACAUGGUGAGACCCGGUCUCUCCGGAAAAAAAAAAAGAGAAUUUCUUCAAUUUCUUGUCCAUUGAUAGUGCAUGUCUCUGGCAUAAUGCUUUUCUUUCUCUUCAUUUUUCUUACGUGUAUUUUUUGUUGGUAAUGAAAAUAAUAUUUGGGAAAGAAAAAAAUGCAUCCAGAUCAAAAAAUUGGAAUUUGUAAUUUGGUUCAUUUAACAAUUAAUAGUUUUCCACACGUGUUUCUUCUUCCAAUAAUUUCUAGGGCAUUCUAAACUUUCAAAUGUCACCCAUGCACUUUGCCACUUUUAAUGAAAGCUGAGGAGUUACAGUAGAGUUUGUUCAGAAUCUGUGGCUCCCCAGUGAUGGAGAGCACUUUGCUAAGCAUGUUAUUGAAAUGGGAAGGCUUAAUGGCCUUGUUUGUCCUGAGGCUUUUUUUUUUCAGUCUCUGAAAAUAAAAUUAUAUGCUAAUAUGUAGAUGAAUUCUAUAUUUUUUGAAGUUACACAGCUCUUUACUGGAAAGGACCUCAAAUACAAUUUCUCUAAAAACUAAUAUAGAUCUCUUCUAUUAUUCCAAAAAGUCUGCCUCAUUUUUUAAAACCUGUCAGGCGUGUUUGAUCUAACCCUCCAUAUCCAGGUAGGUAAGUUGUCAUUUAACUACAUUUUGCAGGUGUGGCAAGUGAGGCUCAUAAAAUUUACGUAAUUCUCAAGAUACCUAGUAAGAAAACGCUAGAAUCUAAAUUGUCUAUUUCUAGUUAAAGUUAUGCCGCUAUCUCCCACAGGGCUUCCAUAUCACUUCCUCUUUCAACCCUGAGUUAUGGAUUAUUUUGUCAAAAAAACUAUUAUUUCUAAUGAUUAGGAAAGUCUUCCUUCCCUUGAGUUCAAUCAUGAGUGAUAUCUAUUUGUCAUCAUCAAGAAAUGUUUCACCCGAGCUGCUCCUACAUCACAUGUGCUCUCUAAAUUUAAUAAUAAAAAAUUCGUAAAAAAAAUUUUAUCAAGUAUUUAAUCUGUGCGAUACACCACUAUGGCCAGAAGGGAUGUGCAAAAGUGAAUAUGGCAUAAUUCUGAAGAGUUAACAAUGAUCAGGUUGAAGAAAGAAGCAGGGAAGAUCUAAAAUCAUGUCACUGUGCUCAUUGACAGAGACAAUAACCAUUAUAAACAACCAGAAGAACAAUAGAAAGAUGCACAGUAAGCACAGGUUUUUAUUGUCAGAAUAACAUCUUUAUGAUGUUAUAGAACUGGAGUUGCUUCCGGCAUGUUAACUUAAAAAAGUGUCCUGGAGUAUCCUGGAGAAUUUGAUGUCUCUAGAAACUAUUGCCUAUCUUGUGUCAUCAUGGAUGCUUCCUGGGCUCCCGGUGGCUCCUUGGCUCCAGUUAUUGACCAUGACAUUUGGUGUCUGUCCUACUUGGCUUUGGAUGUUCUUGACCCCUGGAUGCCCCUGUUCACCCCUGUGACCUGGGCCUCUACCAGGAUCUGAACCUGCUGAUUCCUCGCUGCUUCCUUGCUGCUUUUCAGUACUGACUUCUGCAAAUUCCUGGUUUAAAUUCUGCUUAGCCCAGCAGUGAGUGCCAGUGGGGACAUAUGUAGGCAAAGCGAAUGGAGGGUUACAUAACUGCCCAAACAACUCUUGCCAAAUUCAGUUCAGCCAGAAGUAUUCAUUUUGAUGUGGGUUAGGUAUGUAGAAAAGAAAUCUUUUGAUCAGACCUCUUAAUUUAGUAAUUCUUGGUUUCAAUAUGCCCUACAAUAAAGGAGUCCUAGUUUUAUUAUUAUACAAUACACUGAGUAGAGACAAUUAAAAUAUAUUCUGUAACUAAGAGAUCUGUUGUAGAAAAGAUAACUAAAAAUAGAAAAUCCCAAAUGCUAUCAUUCUGGAUAGAGGGCAAUCCACAAUAGUGAGGUAGGUUUAAAAAUAUAAAAUUAUCCUAUUUUAUUUGGAUAGUUCAGGACAAUGGACACAUUUAGUUUUACAUUAUUUGAGCCUCUGGUUUAGAAGGAGAUCUCUUCUCUCUCUUUCUCUUUCUCCUUCUCCUCCACCACCCACCUUCUCUCUCCUUUCCUUCCUUUCUCUAUCCCUCUUUUUUCUUUCUCUCUAUCUCUGUCUUUCAAGCUGAGUAUAUCCAUUAUAUGUAAAGAGCAGUUAGAGGGACCUUGGUCUCCAAGAUAAACUAAUUGUAAUAAAUGUUUUCAUAGAAGUGUCUCAUGCAAAACAAGUUUGCUGAAAAUGGGAGAAUUUUGUCUGCUUGUUUGUAAGAGGUGGUUCUUGAGCAAUGUUAUAGAGGAAAAGACCCUAUCUCUCAUGGAAGACUGUUAUAUUAUCAGUACUAGCCUACAAUCAGAAACAAAACAUAAAGCGGUCAAGCUUUAUGAAUGUUCCAGUUGUUCUUUAUGUUCACUUGUACUUUGUAAUUUUUUUUGAAUUUUAGGCAAUUCUCCAGGUGUAUAGAGGUUACGGUUUUAAUUUGCAUUUCUCUAGUCACUACUGACAUUGAAUACAUCAUUCACAAUCUUGAACAACUUUCACAUAAUUUUCCUAGUUGCUGCCCGUAUGUUUUCUCUGGUGAAUGUUUAUUCAUUCUUUAACCCAAGUUUCAUUUGCUGUCUUCUUCUUAUUCAAUUGUAAGAGUUCUUGAUGUAAUCUAGAUACACAUGCUUGAUCAGAUAUGUGUUUUGUAAAUAUAUUCCUUUGUUACAGAAUGAAACCUGGUUCAACUUGCCUGGCACAGGAAAGCCAAACAUCCACACCAAGAUUUUGCAGCUAGAGAAAUGAGGGCAUUUAUUCGCAGGGCACCAAGCAAGGAGAACUGGGUAACUCACACUUAAGACCUGAUCACCCUCAUGGCUUCCAAGCAAGAGUGUUUUUAAGUUAAGGGUAAAUUUCAGGAAAGAAGAAGUUACAGGCAAAAUUGUAAAUACACACAGGAGGCUGUAUAUUGGAUUAACCUAAAAGGGAGGGAUAUCUUUUAGGUAGGGCUUAUAGAAUGUGGGCGAAUUUAAAGAUCCUCUGAUUUGCAAUUGGUUAAGGAAGAAAAGCUUUGUCUAAAAUCUUGGGGUCAGCAGAAAGGAAUGUUAAGGUCUGGCAUGUGGGUGUGACUUUCUCCAGGCCCCUCUAAAAGAUCUCCAAAAGAGAUUUAGAACAAAGACUGUUGGUAAGAGUUCAAUCCUCAGUUCCCCUUUAUCUGAGGUCUAUGUGCUAGCAGAUGGCAUUUUCCAUUUGGUGAGGGUCCAGUAUUCUGAAAAAACAGCUCAAGGACAUAUGUUAAGAUGUUAUCUCUAGUUUUUAUAGGGGGCCAGACAUCCUGGGACUCUAACAUUUUUGGCUAUGGUUUUAAGCUGUUAUUACCUUCUUGCUUAUCAGAUUGUUUAUUUACUUCUCAGAGUUAGCUAGGUGCCUUGAAUUUCCCUUGACGGAACUCAAGAUUUUCUUUUCUCUCCACGAUUUUUGGGGAUGAUGGCAGGCCCCUAAGAGGAGUUUCAACUUUGUCUGCCUUUUAGUCUGUGGUCUGUCCUUUCAUUUUCUUAGCAGUGCCUUUCAAAGAACCAAAGGUUUUGAGUGAUUUCAAUUUAUAUAUAUUUUUAUAGUUGAUGUUUUCCUUCUUCUAAGAAGUAUUUGCCUAACCUAAAGUUACAGGAUUCUCUCCUCGGUUCUUGUAUAGAAGUUUUAGAAGUUUUAUAAUUUCAGCCUUUAAAAUUAGGCUUGUGAAAUUUUUCUAUCACUUUAGAAAAUAAUUUGGCAGUUUCUGAUAAGUCAAGCAUAUCUUUAGCAUGUGAUCUGUCAAUCUCACUUCUAGGAAUUAACUCAAAAGAAGUAAAAACAUUUAUCUGUAUGAAGUCCUAGGCAUACAUUUUUACAGUGGCUUUAUUCAUAAUUGCCCCAAAUUGUAAAUAGCCCAAACAUCCGUUAACUAAUGAAUAGAUAAACAAAUUGUGGUAUAUUCAUAUAGUAUAAUUAAAGUAAAAACUGAUGCAUGUAAUAACAUGGGGUCAGGUCAAAAGCAUUAUAAGGGAAAAUGUCAAACACAGAAAUUACAUAGUACACUAUUCCAUUUAUUGACAUUUCAGAAAAAUCACAGAGACAGAAACCAGAUGAUCAUUUAUCAGGUGCUAAGGGUGAGGGAAGGGGAUUGAUUACAAAGUGGCUAAAAUAAACUUUUUGGAGAAAUAGAAAUGAUCUAUAUCUCAGUUGUGUUAGUGAUUGAUAUGGUUUGGAUCUAUGUCCCUGCUCAAAUCUUAUGCUGAAUUUUAGUCCUCAGUGUUGGAGGUGGGGCCUGGCGGGGGGUAAUUGGAUCAUGGGAAUAGUUUCUCAUGAAUGGUUUAGCACCAUCCCCUAGGUGCUGUUCUCAUGAUAGUGAGCGAGUUCUCACAAAAUCUGGUUGCUUAAAGGUCUGUGGCACCUCCCUCCUUGCUCUCUCUUCCUCUUGCUCUGGCCAUGUAAGAUGUAAGAUGUACCUGUGCCCCUUUGCUUUGUACCAUAAUUGCAAGUUUCCUGAGGCUUCCUUAGAAGCCAAGCAGAUCCUGGCACCAUACU